rnacentral:ribozyme from 1 species
UGCCCAGCAGCUCCUAUCCCUACCUCCUCGUGGUACUGGCCGGGGUACGAGUAAGCUUGGGAAAGAUCGGUUAACCAACUCCGGUGGAAAUUCAGGUCAUAUGCUGACAGGAAAGG